UCUCUGGUGGUCCAGUGGUUAAGACUCUGCUCUUCCAAUGCAAGGGGUGUGGGUUCGAUCCCUGGUCAGGGAA
rfam:TPA: Bos taurus chromosome 5, whole genome shotgun sequence.